UCAGGAUGAACGCUAGCGGCAGGCUUAACACAUGCAAGUCGAGGGGUAGAAGAAGCUUGCUUCUUUGAGACCGGCGCACGGGUGCGUAACGCGUAUGCAAUCUACCUUUCACAGAGGGAUAGCCCAGAGAAAUUUGGAUUAAUACCUCAUAGUAAUACGACUUGGCAUCAAGAUGUAUUUAAAGAUUUAUCGGUGAAAGAUGAGCAUGCGUCCCAUUAGCUAGUUGGUAUGGUAACGGCAUACCAAGGCUACGAUGGGUAGGGGUCCUGAGAGGGAGAUCCCCCACACUGGUACUGAGACACGGACCAGACUCCUACGGGAGGCAGCAGUGAGGAAUAUUGGACAAUGGGCGCAAGCCUGAUCCAGCCAUGCCGCGUGCAGGAUGACGGUCCUAUGGAUUGUAAACUGCUUUUAUACAGGAAGAAACACCUCUACGUGUAGAGACUUGACGGUACUGUAAGAAUAAGGAUCGGCUAACUCCGUGCCAGCAGCCGCGGUAAUACGGAGGAUCCAAGCGUUAUCCGGAAUCAUUGGGUUUAAAGGGUCCGUAGGCGGUCAGGUAAGUCAGUGGUGAAAGCCCAUCGCUCAACGGUGGAACGGCCAUUGAUACUGCUUGACUUGAAUUAUUAGGAAGUAACUAGAAUAUGUAGUGUAGCGGUGAAAUGCUUAGAGAUUACAUGGAAUACCAAUUGCGAAGGCAGGUUACUACUAAUAUAUUGACGCUGAUGGACGAAAGCGUGGGUAGCGAACAGGAUUAGAUACCCUGGUAGUCCACGCCGUAAACGAUGGAUACUAGCUGUUGGGAGCAAUCUCAGUGGCUAAGCGAAAGUGAUAA
rnacentral:rRNA from 1 species